rnacentral:rRNA from 1 species
CUCGUAGGCGGCCAACUAAGUCAGACGUGAAAUCCCUCGGCUUAACCGGGGAACUGCGUCUGAUACUGGAUGGCUGGAGGUUGGGAGAGGGAUGCGGAAUUCCAGGUGUAGCGGUGAAAUGCGUAGAUAUCUGGAGGAACACCGGUGGCGAAGGCGGCAUCCUGGACCAAUUCUGACGCUGAGGAGCGAAAGCCAGGGGAGCAAACG